rnacentral:tRNA from 1 species
GGGGGUUUAGCUCAUAUGUUAGAGCGUUCGCUUCGCAUGCGAGAGACACGGGGUUCGAUUCCUUGGACCUCCA